rnacentral:misc_RNA from 1 species
GAUGAAGAACGCAGCGAAAUGCGAUAAGUAAUGUGAAUUGCAGAAUUCAGUGAAUCAUCGAAUCUUUGAACGCACCUUGCACCCUUUGGCAUUCCGAAGGGUAUGCUCGUUUGAGUGUCAUUGUACUCUCACACUUCCAAUCUUUGGAUUGGGAGCGGUGGACUUGGGUGUUGCUGCUUACUGUGGCUCACCUCAAAUCGAUUCGUGCACCUCUUGGUUGGACAUAGUACGGCGUGAUAAGUGUCUUCGCCGGCACCUCAGUAGAGGGUGGCUGAUCAGGAGCUCUGUGCUUCAAACCGUCCUCGGACAACAACUGACAACUUGACCUCAAAUCGAGUAGGACUACCCGCUGAACUUAAGCAUAUCAAUAAGCGGAGGA